GACGAACGCUGGCGGCGUGCUUAACACAUGCAAGUCGAACGGGAUUUAGUAAACAGAAGCCUCGGUGGAAGAUUACUAAUGAGAGUGGCGAACGGGUGAGUAACGCGUGAGCAACCUGCCUAUGACAGUGGGAUAGCCUCGGGAAACCGGGAUUAAUACCGCAUAAAAUCGUAGAAACACAUGUUUUAACGGUCAAAGAUUUAUCGGUCAUAGAUGGGCUCGCGUCUGAUUAGCUAGUUGGUGAGAUAACAGCCCACCAAGGCGACGAUCAGUAGCCGGUCUGAGAGGAUGAACGGCCACAUUGGAACUGAGACACGGUCCAAACUCCUACGGGAAGCAGCAGUGGGGAAUAUUGCACAAUGGGGGAAACCCUGAUGCAGCGACGCCGCGUGAACGAAGAAGGUAUUCGUAUCGUAAAGUUCUGUCCUAUGGGAAGAUAAUGACAGUACCAUAGAAGAAAGCUCCGGCUAAAUACGUG
rnacentral:rRNA from 1 species